AUUUUCAUAUUUUAUCAGAAGUAUAUAAAAGGGAAACAAUUGCAGAAAGUGUAUAACCUACCAUUAAAGAAGUCAAUCAUAUACCAUAAAAAAUGCAGCUCCUCGGCCUCGUUCUCAUAUCGAGUUUGGCAUUCUUUUGGACUGCUGACGCUAGGUGUUCUAGGAACAGUCAAUGCAAAGAUGACGAACGCUGUAUCAAUACUAUAUUUGAAGGA